rnacentral:lncRNA from 1 species
GUGGUAGUUGUGUUAAUAGCUUUGCUGUUUCCCUGCCAGAGUCUACCCAAGGACUUUCACAUGGGCUGUUUCACAAACAUUGAACAAUAAAUGAUUUUUUGAAGGAUCAGAUGUAACAGAUUUUGGAUUGCCGUUGAUAAAUGCACCAGCUGCGAUAGCAGCCGGGACCAGUGCGGAGAUCUUCUUUCCUACUGCCGUUGCCUCAUGUUAAGGUUUUAAUUUGCCAGGAUCCUGAAAUCCUUCUGUGCAGGGCUGCAGAUAUAGGUGUGAUGUGGAAAUAUUUGCAUUUUUCAGGCAGCAUUAAUUAGCUCUGACGGUCUCUGGAGGAACUUGAGAAGUGUGGAGGUUGGAAAUGAAUCAGUUAUGCAUCAGCCACAUUUUAUACUCUUGUCCUGAGACUAAAGCAGUUAUGGUCUGGGCUCCUGGUUCCAGAACUACAGUGAUGUGUUCCAAGUCUACAAUGGAGACAUCUUGGGAAUACUUACAAAGAACUCAGUCCAAACCUCACCCCACCGCACACAUCCACAGUGGCAUGAGGGAAAAGGUAUUGUUGUACUUGCUUACCAUUAUAAAAGGAAGGGAGAAUAAAUAUUCUGAUGCCAUUUUACAAGCCAG